GCCUGGUUGGCUCAGUGGUUGAGCGUCUGCCUUUGGCCCAGGAUGUGAUCCUAGAGUCCUGGGAUCGAGUCCCACAUUGGGCU
rnacentral:tRNA from 1 species